UCCGAAGGGGGCUAGCGUUGUUCGGAAUCACUGGGCGUAAAGCGCACGUAGGCGGUUUGUUAAGUCGGGGGUGAAAUCCUGAGGCUCAACCUCAGAACUGCCUUCGAUACUGGCAAUCUCGAGUCCGGAAGAGGUUGGUGGAACAGCUAGUGUAGAGGUGAAAUUCGUAGAUAUUAGCUAGAACACCAGUGGCGAAGGCGGCCAACUGGUCCGGUACUGACGCUGAGGUGCGAAAGCGUGGGGAGCAAACAGG
rnacentral:rRNA from 1 species